rnacentral:rRNA from 1 species
CAGCCGCCGCGGUAAUGCGGAGGAUCCAAGCGUUAUCCGGAUUUAUUGGGUUUAAAGGGUGCGUAGGUGGCUUGUUAAGUCAGGGGUGAAAGACGGUAGCUUAACUAUCGCAGUGCCUUUGAUACUGACGAGCUUGAAUGAACUAGAGGUAGGCGGAAUGUGACAAGUAGCGGUGAAAUGCAUAGAUAUGUCACAGAACACCAAUUGCGAAGGCAGCUUACUAUGGUUUUAUUGACACUGAGGCACGAAAGCGUGGGGAUCAAACAGGAUUAGAUACCCCCGUAGUCCCUGUCUCUUAUAC